rnacentral:pre_miRNA from 1 species
CAAAUACUCCCUCCGUUCGGAAAUACUUGUCAUCAAAAUAGAUAAAAGGAAAUGUAUCUAGACGUAUUUUAGUUUUAGAUACAUCUCUUUUUAUCCAUUUUGAUGACAAGUAUUUUCGGACGGAGGGAGUAUUUA